rnacentral:rRNA from 1 species
CACCGGCUAAACUACGUGCCAGCAGCCGCGGUAAUACGUAGGGUGCGAGCGUUAAUCGGGAAUUACUGGGCGUAAAGCGUGCGCAGGCGGUUUCGUAAGACAGAUGUGAAAUCCCCGGGCUUAACCUGGGAACUGCGUUUGUGACUGCGAGACUUGAGUACGGCAGAGGGGGGUGGAAUUUCCACGUGUAGCAGUGAAAUGCGUAGAGAUGUGGAGGAACACCGAUGGCGAAGGCAGCCCCCUGGGCUAGUACUGACGCUCAUGCACGAAAGCGUGGGUAGCAAACAGGAUUAGAUACCCUGGUAGUCCACGCCCUAAACGAUGCCAACUAGGUGUUGGAGAAGGAGACUUCUUUAGUACCGAAGCUAACGCGUGAAGUUGGCCGCCUGGGGAGUACGGUCGCAAGAUUAAAACUCAAAGGAAUUGACGGGGACCCGCACAAGCGGUGGAUGAUGUGGAUUAAUUCGAUGCAACGCGAAAAACCUUACCUACCCUUGACAUGUCAGGGAUCCUGCUGAGAGGUGGGAGUGCCCGAAAGGGAACCUGAACACAGGUGCUGCAUGGCUGUCGUCAGCUCGUGUCGUGAGAUGUUGGGUUAAGUCCCGCAACGAGCGCAACCCUUGUCAAUAGUUGCCAUCAUUCAGUUGGGCACUCUAUUGAGACUGCCGGUGACAAACCGGAGGAAGGUGGGGAUGACGUCAAGUCCUCAUGGCCCUUAUGGGUAGGGCUUCACACGUCAUACAAUGGUCGGUACAGAGGGUUGCCAAGCCGCGAGGUGGAGCCAAUCCCAGAAAGCCGAUCGUAGUCCGGAUCGGAGUCUGCAACUCGACUCCGUGAAGUCGGAAUCGCUAGUAAUCGUGGAUCAGCAUGCCACGGUGAAUACGUUCCCGGGUCUUGUACACACCGCCCGUCACACCAUGGGAGUGGGUUUCACCAGAAGUAGGUAGCCUAACCGCAAGGAGGGCGCUUACCACGGUGGGAUUCAUGACUGGGGUGAAGUCGUAACAAGGUAGCC